rnacentral:rRNA from 1 species
UACGUAGGGUGCGAGCGUUGUCCGGAAUUAUUGGGCGUAAAGAGCUCGUAGGCGGUGUGUCACGUCGGCCGUGAAAACCUGCAGCUUAACUGUGGGCGUGCGGUCGAUACGGGCAUCACUGGAGUUCGGCAGGGGAGACUGGAAUUCCUGGUGUAGCGGUGAAAUGCGUAGAUAUCUGGAGGAACACCGGUGGCGAAGGCGGCAUCCUGGACCAAUAUUGACGCUGAGGAGCGAAAGCCAGGGGAGCAAACGGG